GAUGAACGCUAGCGAUAGGCUUAACACAUGCAAGUCGAGGGGUAACGCUUCGGGCGACGACCGGCGCACGGGUGAGUAACACGUAUGCAACCUGCCCAUAACAUGGGGAUAGCCUUCCGAAAGGGAGAUUAAUACCCGAUGACACAGGGAUACCGCCUGGUAAUAUUUGUUAAAGGUUUACCGGUUAUGGAUGGGCAUGCGCAGGAUUAGAUAGUUGGCAGGGUAACGGCCUACCAAGUCGGCGAUCCUUAGGGGAACUGAGAGGUUUAUCCCCCACACUGGUACUGAGACACGGACCAGACUCCUACGGGAGGCAGCAGUGAGGAAUAUUGGUCAAUGGUCGGGAGACUGAACCAGCCAAAUCGCGUGAAGGAAGAAGGUAUUAUGUAUUGUAAACCCCUUUUGGCAGGGAAUAAAGUGAGGGACGUGUCCCUUUUUAUAAGUGGCUUCCGAAUAACCAUCGGCUAACUCCGUGCCAGCAGCCGCGGUAAUACCGAGGAUGCGAGCGUUAUCCGGAUUUAUUGGAUUAUGGGGUUUAAAGGGUGCGUAGGUGGGAUUUUAAGUCAGCGGUGAAAUCACGACGCUUAAACGUCGUAACUGCCGUUGAAACUGGGAUCCCUUGAGUGUAAACGAGGCAGGCGGAAUUCGUAGUGUAGCGGUGAAAUGCAUAGAUAUUACGAAGAACCCCGAUAGCGCAGGCAGCUUGACAGGCUACAACUGACACUGAAGCACGAAAGUGUGGGUAUCAAACAGGAUUAGAUACCCUGGUAGUCCACACAGUAAACGAUGAUUACUCGCUGUUUGCGAUACACAGUAAGCGGCCAAGCGAAAGCGUUAAGUAAUCCACCUGGGGAGUACGCCGGCAACGGUGAAACUCAAAGGAAUUGACGGGGGCCCGCACAAGCGGAGGAACAUGUGGUUUAAUUCGAUGAUACGCGAGGAACCUUACCCGGGCUCGAACGGCUAUAGAAUAACGAUGAAAGUUGUUAGCCAGCAAUGGCUGUAGUCGAGGUGCUGCAUGGUUGUCGUCAGCUCGUGCCGUGAGGUGUCGGCUUAAGUGCCAUAACGAGCGCAACCCUUACCGUUAGUUACCAUCAGGUAAAGCUGGGGACUCUGGCGGGACUGCCACCGUAAGGUGUGAGGAAGGUGGGGAUGACGUCAAAUCAGCACGGCCCUUACGUCCGGGGCGACACACGUGUUACAAUGGCCGCAACAAAGAGGCGCAAAAUCGUAAGGUGGAGCGGAUCUCAAAAAGCGGUCUCAGUUCAGAUCGUGGGCUGCAACCCGCCCACGUGAAGUCGGAGUUGCUAGUAAUCGCGAAUCAGCAUGUCGCGGUGAAUACGUUCCCGGGCCUUGUACACACCGCCCGUCACACCAUGGGAGUUGGGAGCGCCCGAAGCGGGUGAGGUAACCGCAAGGAGCCAGCCUUCGAAGGCGAGACCAAUGACUGGGGUG
rnacentral:rRNA from 1 species